rnacentral:rRNA from 1 species
AGUACAGGAUGGACCCGCGUCUGAUUAGCUAGUUGGUAAGGUAACGGCUUACCAAGGCGACGAUCAGUAGCCGACCUGAGAGGGUGAUCGGCCACAUUGGAACUGAGACACGGUCCAAACUCCUACGGGAGGCAGCAGUGGGGAAUAUUGCACAAUGGGCGAAAGCCUGAUGCAGCAACGCCGCGUGAGUGAUGAAGGCCUUCGGGUCGUAAAACUCUGUCCUCAAGGAAGAUAAUGACGGUACUUGAGGAGGAAGCCCCGGCUAACUACGUGCCAGCAGCCGCGGUAAUACGUAGGGGGCUAGCGUUAUCCGGAUUUACUGGGCGUAAAGGGUGCGUAGGCGGUCUUUCAAGUCAGGAGUGAAAGGCUACGGCU